ACCUGCAAUCGAAACCUGGUUAGAAUGUCGACUAAGGUAACUCCCGGCGAAUCAUCGACCCCUCCGGAAGAAAAGGCGGCGCGAUUUUGGAGUAAAAUUCAUUAAAAUUUGCCGGGAGCAAUCAAAUCAAGUACUACUGGAACCGUGCCGCUAGGGUCGAUCGAGUGGAGGAGGAAAUGGACAAAGAAAAAUUCCACUACCAUACAAUUCUCGAAAUUUGUCGCUUAAGGGAGAAACAUCGCAACUUUAUCAGAUGCUGUCGAGCAAAAAGAAGCCGUUCAGAUUGGUCCACAAGAAGACUUUUUCUGAUACCAAUCUCCGAUCGAAGUACAACCAAACCAUUGAACGCCUUAGAAAAGUUUCAACAUAGCAGCAUAAAUGCCAAUAGAUCUGGGUAGGAUCUGCGCCACUCGUGGUGGUCGACAACCCAUUUUUUGGCAUUGGAUUGGCAUUUUACGUGCCGUAUCUGUUGGAUUAUUCGAAACACGAUGAUGCUGUGGUUCUAAACUGAUGUCGAUGACUCACUUCUCG